AACGGGUGGUAAUGCCGGAUGCUCCAGUUGAUCGCAUGGUCUUCUGGGAAAGCUUUCGCGGUAUGGGAUGGGGUCGCGUCCUAUCAGCUUGACGGCGGGGUAACGGCCCACCGUGGCUUCGACGGGUAGCCGGCCUGAGAGGGCGACCGGCCACAUUGGGACUGAGAUACGGCCCAGACUCCUACGGGAGGCAGCAGUGGGGAAUAUUGCACAAUGGGCGCAAGCCUGAUGCAGCGACGCCGCGUGAGGGAUGGAGGCCUUCGGGUUGUAAACCUCUUUUAUCGGGGAGCAAGCGAGAGUGAGUUUACCCGUUGAAUAAGCACCGGCUAACUACGUGCCAGCAGCCGCGGUAAUACGUAGGGUGCAAGCGUUAUCCGGAAUUAUUGGGCGUAAAGGGCUCGUAGGCGGUUCGUCGCGUCCGGUGUGAAAGUCCAUCGCUUAACGGUGGAUCCGCGCCGGGUACGGGCGGGCUUGAGUGCGGUAGGGGAGACUGGAAUUCCCGGUGUAACGGUGGAAUGUGUAGAUAUCGGGAAGAACACCAAUGGCGAAGGCAGGUCUCUGGGCCGUUACUGACGCUGAGGAGCGAAAGCGUGGGGAGCGAACAGGAUUAGAUACCCUGGUAGUCCACGCCGUAAACGGUGGAUGCUGGAUGUGGGGCCCGUUCCACGGGUUCCGUGUCGGAGCUAACGCGUUAAGCAUCCCGCCUGGGGAGUACGGCCGCAAGGCUAAAACUCAAAGAAAUUGACGGGGGCCCGCACAAGCGGCGGAGCAUGCGGAUUAAUUCGAUGCAACGCGAAGAACCUUACCUGGGCUUGACAUGUUCCCGA
rnacentral:rRNA from 1 species